GUGCAUAGAACAGAGGCGCUCCCCAGAAGGCCGCUGCCCUCCCCAGGCUGCCCCUCCGUCCCAAAGGUGGGAAGAUGUACUCUCUGUGUCUGGAUAGUGCUGGCGCACGGCUGCGCGGCAUGGCGGGAGCGGCAGCAUGUUUGACGUGAUUUCUCCUGGAUACCGGCGGACCAAUCCGGAGGAGGCGGAGGAGGCGACGGAGCCAAUCGGCAAUCGUUACUACCUGUGGACAAUAUUUUUAGCUCGAAUAGGAAUUAAAAAAGAAAUGUAAUGAGAAGGGAAAAGGGGGAAACAAUAAAAGAAUUUUAUUCUCUUCAUACAAUUACUGUACCACGUGUUUGCGUAAGUUGUGUCAUUUAGAAAAAGCAACCUAUGACCGCGAAAGAAGCGGAGAAAAACCGAAUGCGUAUAACCCGAAAAGUCAGUUUCACGUUAAGAAACCAGAUGCCCCUGCCUGCUGAAAGCCGACGGACUGCUGCCAAGCUAACCACCGCACGAGGUAUUUCGCGUACUCCCGGCACAGACGGACGGCCGCCGCAUCACCUUUGAGGAUGCCCAUCCAGGACUUGGGGCGGAUUGCAGCCGCUUUUGCGAAGAAAGGAAGGAGCGCCUAACUCUUCCCAAUCUCGGAGCCAUGGCCAGACUGCAAGGGCUCCUGCCCGGCACAGCAAAGCUUCCUUUAGGUGUACUCAAAAGAGAGAAUCGGGAGCCGGAUUUCCCUUCUGACGGCGGGCGGAUCUCCGCGACCACUGGUUUUCCUUCGUCCUUCUCCCACCAGCUCAACAAGCGGGGAAAACUGGCUGCCGCGUUCCUGCUGCCAGUAUCCACCGGGGCUCCUGAAAGGCAAUGUUUCGCUGCCCUACCUGCUUGCCCUUCUACAGUCCCUCCCGCCUCCCCCGCCCCGCCUGCUUUCCUUCCUUGUACGCCCCCCCCUCACACAAACGCACGCACACCCUUUCUCUGGUCCGCGUCUUGCCCUCCGCUCCUGCCGCCGCCGUCGCGCUGCCGGUUUUUCCACCCUGGUUCAGCCCAAAGAGUUACAGCCGCACCAGCGCGCAGGGCGAGAGGCGCACCUCGACGGGGCGGCGGCGGGAAGGAGGGGGGGAAGGAAAGGGGGAGAGGCGACGCGCCCGGAGUAUGCUGCCCAGUCACUACUGACUGACAGGUUUGGGAGCCAAUCCGAAGACAACAAAAGGGAGGGCUGGCCCAGAGUGCCUCGGUCCUAUGGCAAAAAUUAAGAGUUGGAACACCUGGGUAGGCCAGUUCCCAUUACCUGCAAGGUGGGGGAAAAAAGAGAACACCCACAAGGAAGGGACUGAUUUAAUUAUUUCAAAUGUAGGACUAGGUGAUACUUUUUCUGCCUAAUGGGGAGAUGGUCCCACUUAGCCAUUCCCGAGCUCUGUUUCUCUUGCGGCUGGCACUCAGGGAAUUGGGGGGGAAAUGUUCUGUCCUCAGUUGUUCCCCUCUUUCCCGACAUGCUCACCCCCAUUAUGUUCAGUUAUGGGUACUUUUCAUCUUUAGUAUGGAUAUAUCCGAAACAAGGCGCAUUCUGUUUCCUCUGGAGCGGUGUGUGUGUGUGGGGGGGAAGUGAUCUGGCUCUCCCUGGACUACUGCCGGAGAAUAUAAGGAGAAGGACAACUCGAAAAAAAGGGUUAAGUGCAAAAAAAUGUGCUUGACUUCCCCUCACAGAAGGGCAAAAAACUGAAGAGGUUCACUUGAGUGCACUUAGUGGAUUAUGGACAUUUGAUUCCUUGCCUUGGUGAAUUGGGCCAUUAAUAAAGCCACCUCCUGUCUCGAUGAAUGCCCUGGCCUCUGUUGGUCAUGCUAGGUGUGGGUCUGAUGAUAUACAGUAGCGGGGGUGGUUUUAUAAAGAUAAUAACUAGCAACUAUCCGAUCAAACUGGGUCUUCCUUUUGCUUUUUGUAAAUUUCAAGUAAGCGCGGUGCCUUUGGCAUGCUAGGAAUUGCAGACACUGUUGUUUUGGACAAACGGAUUUCACCAGAAACAAUUGUUAGAAACUGCAAAAACUGCUCCCCCAAGAGAGAGAGAGAGAAAUGCAUGUACCGAGAAGGAGGAGGAAAACCCAGAAAUUUGGGAAGUGCGGCGCUCCUUCAAUCUCCCUUCAGUUUGGGGGAUGGAAUUACCUUCUGUUGGUAGUCCUGAAGGAUAAAAACAUCGAUUUCCGCAAAGCUGGAGGUGCUGCUGAACAAUGAGCCCAUCUUGUAGGACAGUUUCGGAGAGACGUGCCCCCUUCCUAAAUGGCACUUCCGUCACCCAACAGUAUCAUUUCAUUCCCCAGCAGGCAAGUGAUUUAUUUGUUUCAUCUGAAGGAAUAUAUAAUAAGGGAAAGGGUGACGGGCCUUUUUCCGAAGGAAGCCACCGCAUCCGCCCGGGUGGGGCGCUGCGCUGGGUCCCGGUUCUCUCCUUCCCUGCAGUCUCCCGGUAAAGGCGAGGGGGCGCUUUCCUCUACGGCGCCCAAGGCAGAAGAGCAUCCUGGGAGAUGUAGUUUCCGCCACCCUGGAAAGGAGGCGAGAAGCCCAGAGGACAGACGUACGUAUAGGCUUGACGUCACUGCCAGCCCCAUAGCAGCGGGAGGUGGGAGUGAACGUAGGGAAGGACUAAUGCUCAUUGGCCCCUCCGGGGAAGGGGAGUGGAGAGCAGCAGCCCAGCCAAGAAAAUGGCGAUGAGCACCAUCUAAUGCCAAUCUAGGAAAAUAUGGGUAUCGAAGGCGGGGGCAGGGAACCCGGGAGCGAACAUAUAGGGGGCACUUGCAAGGACUGGGGAGCCUCCAAGGUGGGGAGGGGACACUCAAAACAAACAAACA